rnacentral:rRNA from 1 species
UACGUAGGUCCCGAGCGUUGUCCGGAUUUAUUGGGCGUAAAGCGAGCGCAGGUGGUUUAUUAAGUCUGGUGUAAAAGGCAGUGGCUCAACCAUUGUAUGCAUUGGAAACUGGUAGACUUGAGUGCAGGAAAGGAGAGUGGAAUUCCAUGUGUAGCGGUGAAAUGCGUAGAUAUAUGGAGGAACACCGGUGGCGAAAGCGGCUCUCUGGCCUGUAACUGACACUGAGGCUCGAAAGCGUGGGUAGCAAACAGG